CAGGUCACUCCUACUGGAGGCAGCAUUGGGGAAUAUUGGACAAUGGGCGCAAGCCUGAUCCAGCAAUGCCGCGUGUGUGAAGAAGGCCUUCGGGUUGUAAAGCACUUUUAUCAGGAGCGAAAUACUACUGGCUAAUAACCGGUGGGGCUGACGGUACCUGAGGAAUAAGCACCGGCUAACUUCGUGCCAGCAGCCGCGGUAAUACGAAGGGUGCAAGCGUUAAUCGGAAUUACUGGGCGUAAAGCGUGCGUAGGCGGUGAGUUAAGUCUGUUGUGAAAUCCCCGGGCUCAACCUGGGAAUGGCAAUGGAUACUGGCUCGCUAGAGUGUGAUAGAGGAUGGUGGAAUUCCCGGUGUACCGGUGAAAUGCGUAAAGAUCGAGAGGAACAUCACUGGCGAAGGCGGCCAUCUGGAUCAACACUGACUCUGAGGCACCAAAGCGUGGGGAGCAAACAGGAUUAGAUACCCUGGUAGUCCACGCCCUAAACGAUGCAAACUGGAUGUUGGUCUCAACUCGGAGAUCAGUGUCUAAGCUAACGCGUUAAGUUCGCCGCCUGGGGAGUACGGUCGCAAGACUGAAACUCAAAGGAAUUGACG
rnacentral:rRNA from 1 species